CUCGCAGGAGAGGGCUGGGCAGAGGAACCACGACGGCCAUGCGGAAGCCACACAAGAGCGAUCCAAUGUCUCAUCUCCGCCCUCAAUCAUGGCCUCCGCUGAUGCCAAAGUAAACCCAUUCAGCUUCAGGAGGCUUUUCAGCAAACAAAGCAUAAUUUGUACGACGGAUCUGUGUGUUACAGGUAUGAUGCUCCACUUGGUCUCACUGCCUCCCGUCUCUGCUCCAUCCAAUCUAUCUUCCAGUCCAGAAGUGAAGGUUUUGUGCCAAAAUGCAUUCACCCAUCCAAACAUUCAAUAAAUAUCUACUAAGUACCCACUAAAGGUUAGGUGUGCGUGAAGCCCUGGUGGCAAAGAAAUAAACAGACCCGACCUCUUCCCUCAAACAGCUAGUGAACAGUGCAAACCAUGGCAUGGUUUGAAAAAUGAGCAUGAGGACUGCCCAGGGUCCCUUUGGGAAAUGCUGAACAGAGUG
ensembl:lncRNA FARS2-AS1 FARS2 antisense RNA 1